rnacentral:rRNA from 1 species
GACGAACGCUGGCGGCGUGCUUAACACAUGCAAGUCGAACGGAAAGGCCCGGCUUUUGGGGGGUGCGCGAGUUGCGAACGGGUGAGUAACACGUGGGUAACCUGCCCUUGACUUUGGGAUAACUUCAGAAAACUGGGUCUAAUACGGGAUAGGAGCUCCUGCUGCAGGGUGGGGGUGGGAAGGUUUCGGCGGUUGGGGAUGGACUAGCGGCUUAUCAGCUUGUUGGGUUGGUAGUGGCUUAGCAAGGCUUUGACGCGUAGCAGGCCUGGGCGGGUCACCGGCCCCGCCGCGCUUGGGCUGCGGCCCAGCCUCGUCCGGGAGGCAGCGGUGGAGAAUGGUGUACUGUAGGCGGAAGGCUGAUGCAGCAACGCCGCGUGGGGUGUGACGUCAAUCGGGUUGUAUUGCAAAUUCGCCUUUGCCGAAGCGUGAGUGACGGUAACGGGUGAAGAAGCACCGGCUAACUACGUG